UGCCAGACUCCUACGGGAGGCAGCAGUGGGGAAUAUUGCACAAUGGGCGAAAGCCUGAUGCAGCAACGCCGCGUGAACGAAGAAGGCUCUUGGGUCGUAAAGUUCUGUUCUGAGGGAAGAAGAAAGUGACGGUACCUCAGGAGAAAGCCCCGGCUAACUACGUGCCAGCAGCCGCGGUAAUACGUAGGGGGCAAGCGUUAUCCGGAUUCACUGGGUGUAAAGGGAGCGUAGACGGCGACGCAAGUCUGGAGUGAAAGCCCGGGGCCCAACCCCGGGACUGCUCUGGAAACUGCGGCGCUGGAGUACGGGAGGGGCAGGCGGAAUUCCUGGUGUGGCGGUGAAAUGCGUAGAUAUCAGGGGGAACACCGGCGGCGAAGGCGGCCUGCUGGACCGUGACUGACGUUGAGGCUCGAGAGCGUGGGGAGCAAACAGGAUUAGAUACCCGAGUA
rnacentral:rRNA from 1 species